CCUAAGGAAAGCUUUACUGCAAUGACUAAUUAUUUUUAUUUUUAUUCCGUUAGAGUUUAAUGAAACCUAAAAGAUGUCCAUGCUUAUUUUGCAUUCUGGGAUAUGAGGUCCUGAGAAAUCAAAUCCUGAGGUUCCUGGGUCUGAGUCUUUCCAGAUAGACUGGGGUCUGGAGUUCUACUUCCUUGAGAGGUGAAGAAAAGGAGCGAACGGAGAGGU
rnacentral:lncRNA from 12 species